GCCGAAGUGGUGAAAUUGGUAGACACGCUACCUUGAGGGGGUAGUGGGCAUAUGCCCGUGCGAGUUCGAGUCUCGCCUUCGGCACCA
rnacentral:tRNA from 1 species